GAUGAACGCUGGCGGCGUGCCUAAUACAUGCAAGUCGAACGAACAGACCCUGAGCUUUCUCGGCUGACGUUAGCGGCAGCCGGGUGGGUACCACGUGGUUAACCUCCCUAUACUACUGGGAUACCUUCGGGAAACGGGAGCUAAUACGGGAUAAUAUAUUGAGCCGCAUGGUUCAGUAGUGAAAGACGGUUUUGCUGUCACUUAUAGAUGGAUCCGCGCCGCAUUAGCUAGUUGGUAAGGUAAGGGCUUACCAAGGCAACGAUGCGUAGCCGACCGGAGAGGGGGGUCGGCGACACUGGAGGGGAGGAGCGGCCCAGACGCCUACGGGAGGAAGCAGUAGGGAAGGGUACGCAACGGUCGGAAGACGGACGGAGCAACGACGCGGCAGUGAUGAAGGUCUCCGGAGCGUAAAAAUCCUCUAUUGGGGAAGAACAAAUGUGUAAGUUACUAUGCACGGCUGGACGGUGCCUAAUCAGAAAGCGACGGCUAACUACGUG
rnacentral:rRNA from 1 species